AUUGAACGCUGGCGGCAGGCCUAACACAUGCAAGUCGAGCGAGCGGCGGACGGGUGAGUAAUGUCUGGGAAACUGCCUGAUGGAGGGGGAUAACUACUGGAAACGGUAGCUAAUACCGCAUACCAUCAGAUGUGCCCACAUGGGAUUAGCUAGUAGGUGGGGUAACGGCUCACCUAGGCGACGAUCCUUAGCUGGUCUGAGAGGAUGAACAGCCACACUGGAAAUGAGACACGGUCCAGACUCCUACGGGAGUCAGCAGUGGGAAAUAUUGCACAAUGGGCGCAAGCCUGAUGCAGCCAUGCCGCGUGUGUGAAGAAGUCCUUCGGGUUGUAAAGCACUUUCAGCGGGGAGGCGUUACCCGCAGAAGAAGCACCGGCUAACUCCGUGCCAGCAGCCGCGGUAAUAC
rnacentral:rRNA from 1 species